CGCCGCAAGGUUUGCAGUUGUCCAGUUUUCGUUCGAUUAGGAACGUUUCUAUGCCAGCCUUCGCGAGAGUUUCGGCGGCUGAGCCUCCUGCCGGACCACCCCCUAUGAUGGCUACCCUGAGGUUGCGGUUGCUUAGUUUUGGAGAAGUUUUGGCGGCUGACACAUGGAAUUUGACAGCAGGUUUGGAAAGGGUGGUGGUAGUGGAAGUGGGGCUGUGGACGGCGGAGCUAUGGCGGAGGCCGUGGAAGGGCUUGAAAGCAAUGGAGCUCAUUUUUGAGAAAU
rnacentral:lncRNA from 1 species